AGUCGAGCGGACUGAUUAAAAGCUUGCGUUUUAUGAAGUCAGCGGCGGACGGGUGAGUAACACGUGGGCAACCUGCCUGUAAGACUGGGAUAACUUCGGGAAACCGGAGCUAAUACCGGAUAAUACUAGGAACCUCCUGGUUCCUUGUUGAAAGAUGGUUUCGGCUAUCACUUACAGAUGGGCCCGCGGCGCAUUAGCUAGUUGGUGAGGUAACGGCUCACCAAGGCGACGAUGCGUAGCCGACCUGAGAGGGUGAUCGGCCACACUGGGACUGAGACACGGCCCAGACUCCUACGGGAGGCAGCAGUAGGGAAUCUUCCACAAUGGACGAAAGUCUGAUGGAGCAACGCCGCGUGAGCGAUGAAGGCCUUCGGGUCGUAAAGCUCUGUUGUUAGGGAAGAACAAGUGCGAGAGUAACUGCUCGCACCUUGACGGUACCUAACCAGAAAGCCACGGCUAACUACGUGCCAGCAGCCGCGGUAAUACGUAGGUGGCAAGCGUUGUCCGGAAUUAUUGGGCGUAAAGCGCGCGCAGGCGGUUUCUUAAGUCUGAUGUGAAAGCCCACGGCUCAACCGUGGAGGGUCAUUGGAAACUGGGGAACUUGAGUGCAGAAGAGGAGAGU
rnacentral:rRNA from 1 species